AGCCUCAUCCUACUGCCUUACUAUUGGUCGUCGGCAACCGCUUUGUUAGUUAAUUGGAGAGACUGGAUGUCCAUCAGGGUCACGCUUGCAGGGCAACGAGAGGCAAAACAAGAGGGAAGACGACUUUCCUCCUGUGAGCCAAUGAGGCCAGCUGGACUACGCCGAGACAACUGGGAGAGGCGCGGGACUCGCCCGUUCCGCGGAACGCCGGGAAGGGGUCACCUCCUGAUGAAGUUUCCGGUUCCGGUGUCAGCGGCGGUUGAAUUGCCAUGGCAAUGCGGUGGGCGCGCGCUUGUCGUGUUGGUCUCUUGGGAGGUAGCGGGGCUAGGCCGGGCGGGUAUCCGCCUCUCCCAGCUUAGGUGAGCGUCCCCGGGCGCCUCCGGAGCGCCGCGGCCGCAUGCAGUUCGUCGUGGCGGGGAGCCGGAGCCUGACCGGGGUUCCAGCGCUCGGGCCGUAGCCUUGGCUCCUGGACUUUCCCUGGCUCCGCCGCCACGUGGGAGCUGAGGCUCUGGGGCUUCCGCCUCCGGCGCGCGAUUAUUUCUCUAGAACAGUUUUCAUUUUUAAAAUUUGUAAAGCGCUUUUGCCUGUGUGAUUUCCUCUGGGUUUUUUUUUUUUUUCUUCCUUUUUGUAGAGACGGAAUUGGCGGCGGGGGCGGGGGGUCGAUGUCUCACUUUUUUGCCCAGGCUGGUCUCGAACUCCUGGCUUCAAGGGAUCCUCCUGCCUCGGCCUCUUAAAGUGCUGGGAUUACAGGCGUGAGCCACCGCCCCCGGCCGCCUCUGAGUUUCCAGCCUCGUUGGCCCUCCAGCCUUUUAACCUGUUGGGCCUAGGAUCAGGAAAGGUUUGUUGAAUGGGGAACUAAGAAGUGAAUUCGUUCGUUCGACAAACGUUUCCUGAGCAGCCGCUGGGUGCUAGGCGCAGUGCCAGCGCGGAAUGUCCAGGGAGACCUGGUGCCCAAAGCUUGGACCCAUCGUGAGAAAUGAGAAGCAGAUACAAAGCAGUGUGGGAGUGCAGAGGAGACAAAGCAAGCCUCAUCAGGCCCAUUGCUUGCUCUGCUCUCCCUUGUACUUACCAGUGCUUGACAAUAUACAGUUAUUUACUAGCUUGGUUAUUGACUUCCUACCCAGCACUCAGUUUUAUUCACUGCUGUAUCCUCAGUGCCUAGGACGAUGCUUGGAACGUGAUUCAUUGAUUCCAGGUAAAUCAGAGGAACAAGCAACAUGAACAGAAAUAUGUAGAAAAAGCUAUUAUGCAGAAGCAUAAUUGUUGUUUCAGAAGUCCAGCAUCUGGUGCACUUAACAAUAGAGAAUAUAUUAAACUCUUUCCAAAAUAAAAAAAAAAAAA
rnacentral:lncRNA from 1 species